AGCUCACACACAUUGUGCCUUAUCUGCUGAGCCACCUCCUUGUUCUGAGCAGCAAGCAGCUGGGCCUGUAGGUACUCCACCUAAGAUGAAGCUCUUAAAGGCUAAACGAUACCAUGUGUCUGUGUCAGGUAUGAGCUUGUGCUCUCUCUCUCUCUCUCUCUCUCUCUGAAAGUGAUUUAUUUAUUUAGGUUUUUGUUUUUUUAAGUAGAUGACCCUGAGAUCAAGAACUGUGCUGAGAUCAAGAGUCUGACCCUUAACCAACUGAGCCACCCAGAUGCGCCCCCCGCCCUUUCUGAUUGUGAUGUAAGCAGAAGGAGAGGGAAGGUCUGGAAGUCAUCCCAUUGCAGGAGUUUUUAUCUAGGUCAGCCUGGAAAGGAAGCUUCAGGAACACUAGAAAGACUUGGCCCAGAGACCUUGGGUCUCUACCACCUUGUUCCCUAAGCCUAACAGCCAUGACAAACAAAGGGGGGCAGCAGGACAGAGAGAGGGAUCUGGAUCAGCUUUGUUCCAGGCUUUACUUCUAGACUAUUCCUUAUACAUUCUGUGGACUCCAUGGGGAUGUAAGAGAAUGAGAGGAAGAGGACUAAGGGAGACCCUCUGUGCACUUGUUACAGACCUGAUCUACUACUCAGAGAGAUGCAUAAAAAGGACUGAUUUUACAAAUGACAGCAUCUCAGAUUCAGUGAAGUCCAGGAGACCUGUGUGGCUGUCUGGACUCUGGAAAUCAUGGUGGCAAAGCAACAGGAAAACUGAACGUGUGAUGCAGGUAGACACCACUGGGAGUACACCAAGCAGGUUCAGGCAGGAUCAGCUGGCUUCACUUUUGGAAGUUAAAACAUUACUAUCCCUAAAGACAGAAGAAUUAUGUUACAAAGAACUAUGUUGA
rnacentral:lncRNA from 1 species